rnacentral:rRNA from 1 species
GACGAACGCUGGCGGCGUGCUUAACACAUGCAAGUCGAACGGGCCUGUCUUCUUUUUGAGGGUGGGUUGAGUGGCGAACGGGUGAGUAUCACGUGAGUAACCUGCCCUUCGGUCCUGGAUAACCGCUUGAAAGGGCGGCUAAUACGGGGUGGUCCGGUUGGUCCGCAUGGGCUGGUCGGGAUAGAUUCACUGUUUUUGGUGUUUCGGCGGGGGAUGGGCUCGCGGCCUAUCAGCUUGUUGGUGGGGUGAUGGCCUACCAAGGCGGUGACGGGUAGCCGGCCUGAGAGGGUGGGCGGCCACACUGGGACUGAGAUACGGCCCAGACUCCUGCGGGAGGCAGCAGUGGGGGGUAUUGCACAAUGGGCGGAAGCCUGAUGCAGCGACGUCGCGUGAGGGAUGGAGGCCUUCGGGUUGUGAACCUCUGUUUCCGGUGGUGAAGGCCCUGUCCGUGUGGUGGGGUUGACGGUAGCCGGGGAUGAAGCGCCGGCUAACUACGUG